GGUGUUGAUCAGUGUAUCCAGAAAUUUCUGGAUGUUGCAAGACAAACUGAAUGCUUUUUUCUACAAAAAAGACUGCAGUUAUCAGUCCAGAAACCAGAGCAAGUAAUUAAAGAGGAUGUUUCAGAAUUAAGAAAUGAAUUGCAGAGAAAAGAAGCAUUAAUUCAGAAGCAUUUGGGUAAACUGCGACACUGGCAACAGGUCCUGGAAGAUACCAGUGUACAGCACAAAAAGCCUGCAGAAUUGCCUCAAGGUCCAUUCGCUUACCUAGAACAAGCAUCUGCUAAUAUUCCUGCUCCAAUGAAGCAAACAUGAUCUUUGAUUUUAUGUAUCUGAGUAGUUUCAACAAUGCAAAGCAGUCAUGUUCUUUUUACUUUGUAUACCUUUUGUAUAAUGUAAUUUGUGCUAUAAAUAUAAAUAGUUAAGACAAUUAAG